UGUGCACGUGUGCUCUGAAGGGAUAAUGUCGGAGCCUAUUGUCUCUAGAUGGGCCCAGGGUGCCUCUUAGGGCUGCAGACUCCGGGAGGGGCCUCAGCUUGCAGGACCCUGGUGGUCUGGCCUUCCGAUCUCUAAAUGUCUGGGUGCCCCGGCGCCUAAAUGUUUCGGGGUGCGCAUAAUUGGCUGUAGUUUGUAUCGCGUGCCCCUCCCCCCUUUUCUUAAAGUGUUGGACUCUGUUCUUGUAGUCGCUGGUGCUCACAAUCCGGUAUAUGGUUAGGUUGACCUCUUUUUCUUGGGUCUGGAGUGAUUUAUACAAGUAUUGAGACGUUUGAAAUUUGGCUACAAGUUACAACAGUUUGAUCUUUGGCAAUGUGAUAAGUUGGGACAUUGGAUACUGACAUGUAGCUGCAAGUAGCAGAACCUCAGAUUCACCCCAGUUACACAAAUGCUCCCAUGAAGUAUGAUUUUAAGUUCUCUCACAAUGAGGGUGAUAGCGGCCAGGCGGUGGUGCACCGGAUUAAAUACAUAUAGUAUAAAGCACAAGGACUCAGGUAAGGAUCUUGGUUUGAGCUCUCUGGCUUCCCACCUGCAGGGGUUUGGGGGGGGGCGGUCCUGCUUCACAAGCAGUGAAACAGGUCUGUAGCUCUCUCUCUCUCUCUCAAUUUCUCUCUGUCCUAUCCAAAAAAAAAAAAAAAAAAUAGCUACAGGAGCAGUGGAUUCGUAGUGUAGGCACCGAGCCCCAGUGAUAACCCUGAAGGCAAAACAAACAAACAAAACCAAAAAACAAUGCGGAUAUUAGAAAAGGAGAAACCCUGCAGUUUUGCAAUUUUAGUGCUGAAACUUUGGUUCUAUAGAAUCAGGCCCACUGCACCAGAAAGAUUCUUAGGUAAAUGUUCUUCAUAAAGAAGUUGUUAGAGGGGCUGGGUGGUGGCGCACCUGGUUCAGCACACUUGUUACAAUGAGCAAGGACCUAGGUUCGAGCCCUCGGUCCCCACCUGCAGUGGGAAACCUUUGCGAGUGGUGAAGCAGAGCUGAAGGUGUCUCUCUGUCCCUCUCCCUCUUUAUCUCCCCCUUCCCACUUGAUUACUGGCUGUCUCUAGGCAAUAAAUAAAUAAAGAUAAUAAAAAACUAAAACAAAACAACAAAAAAAGCUUGUUUGAGGGCACUUGGCAGUGGCCACACUCCUGGUUGAGCAUGCAUAUUACAAUGAUAUUACAAUGCACAAGGACCUGGCUUCAGUCUCCCAGUCCCCAGCUGUUGAGGGGAAGCUUCACUAGUGGUCAAACAGUGCUGCAAGUGUCUCUCCCUAUCUCCUCUUACCCUUUAAUUUUCUUUCCCCUUCAAAUAAAUAUUUGUAAAAGAGCUUGUUAGACAAACUGGGGGUAUGGUCAGGGUUAGAUAGCAUAUUGGUCAUGCAAAGAGACUCUCAUCCCUCAGGCUCCAAAGUCCCAGGUUCAGUCCCCUGCACCACCAUUCAGCAGAGUUGAAUAGUGCUCUGGUUUAAAAAAAGAAAAUGAAUAACAUCUCCCGGGAUAAUAACUUGGAUACACUUGCGUAUCAGAUGUCAGGCUCAGGAAAGGAAAAAAGGAAAAAAAAAAGAAAAAAAAAAAACUACUAUAGGGGCCAGGUGGUGGCGAACCUGGUUAAGCACACACAUUACACUGCACAAGGACCCAGGUUCAAACCCCUGGUCCCCACCUGCCAGGGGGAAAGCUUCACAAGUGGUGAAGCAGGCUGCAUGUGUUUCUGUGUUUCUCUCCCUCUCUACCUACCCCUCCCCUCUCAAUUCAUCUCUGUCUAUCCAAUAAUAAAUAAAUAAAAUAAAAAAUAGAAGAUUUAAAAUAAAUAAAUAUUUUUUAAAAACUACUAUAGUCAUGGGUCCUUUGGAAAAUAACUAAAGUAGAACUACUAACUAUCUACAAAACAAAGAAACUCCCCUCCCCAACUCUUCCAGCCUUUAGGUUCAUGAUUGGUCAACAAUUAGUUUGGCUCUAUAUGUUAACUCUCUUUUCAGCCUCCAGGUUCCAGAUGAUAACAUGAUGCCAGCUGGACUUCCUUGGGCAGAGGAUCCCACCAAUAUGUCCUGGAGCCCCACUUCCCAAGAGCCCUGCCCCUCUAGGGAAAGAGACAGGCUGAGAGUAUGGAUCCACCUGCCAACACCCAUGUUCAGCGGGGAAGCAAUUACAGAAGCCAGACCUUCCACCUUCUGCACUCCACAAUGACCCUGGGUCCAUACUCCCAGAAGGAUAAAGAAUAGGAAAGCUAUCAGGGGAGGGGAUGGGAUACAGAGUUCUGGUGGCGGGAAUUGUGUGGAGUUGUAUCCCUCUUAUCCUAUGGUUUUUGUCAGUGUUUACUUUUUAUAAAUAAAAAUUAAAAAAAAAAGUUACACAGAAAAAAAAAGAAAAUGGGGGUAUUAAUGUGAUGUUUAAAGGGGUAAUACAUAUUUAAAACCAUGAAAAUGAUAGCAGGGUCCGGCGUUGGUGCACCUGGUUAAGUGCACACACUAAAGUGAGCAAGGAACCAGGUUCAAACCCCCCAUCCCCACCUGCAGGGGAAAAGCUUCAUAAGUGGUAAAGCAGAGCUUCAGGUGUCUCUCUGUCUCCUUCUCUGUCUAGCUCCUACUUUGCCUCUGAAUUUCUCUGUCUCUAUCCAAUAAUAAAUAAAUUAAAAGAUUUAAAAAAUAAAGUGAAAAAAAAAAAAGAAAAUGAUAGCAUAGUAUUGUAAUCAAGACAAGCUAAAAUUCACUUCUUAUGAUGAUAUUGUUUGUUAAAGAAAUUAAAUACUAACUUUUGGGAAACCUACUAAUUUCUUUUUUUGUUGUUGUUUAUUUCUUUAUUGGGGAAUUAAUGUUUUACAUUCAAUAGUAGAUACAAUAAUUUGUAUAUGCAUAACAUUUCCCAGUUUUCCAUAUAAAAAUACAACCCCCACUAGGUCCUCUGUCAUCCUUCUUGGAUCUGUAUUCUCCCCACCCACCCACCCCAGAAUCUUUUACUUUGGUG